CUACGUAGGGGGCACGCGUUAUCCGGAUUUAUUGGGCGUAAAGGGUGCGUAGGCGGUACAUUAAGUCUAAGGUUAAAGUGCAGGGCUCAACCCUGUGAUGCCUUAGAAACUGGUUUACUUGAGUUUGGUAGAGGUAAGUGGAACUCCAUGUGUAGCUGUAAAAUGCGUAAAUAUAUGGAAGAACACCAGUGGCGAAGGCGGCUUACUGGGCCACAACUGACGCUGAGGCACGAAAGCGUGGGGAGCAAACAGGAUUAGAUACCCUGGUAGUCCACGCUGUAAACGAUGAAUACUAAGUGUUGGAAAAAUCCAGUGCUGAAGUUAACGCAUUAAGUAUUCCGCCUGAGUAGUACGUACGCAAGUAUGAAACUCAAAUGAAUUGGCGGGG
rnacentral:rRNA from 1 species